CUAGGGCCCCCCCAACCCAAUUGUGUCUUUAGAGUUCAUGCAGACCGGGGGGCCGACUAACCAAUUAAUGUGUGCUCUGCGUCCUGUAGUUGCCCCCCAGCGACACCCCCAUGGAAGUUGGGGCCCACUGUCCGCUUUUUCUGUGCCCUAUUAUUCCCAGGUGCGCUCCCCAAUGGCUGGGAACCUCCUGCUGCUGGAAUCC